AGAAAUUCUGAUUUUUUACGAUUCGCACGAAGACUAACAGGGACGUCCAUUGAAUAUAUUCUUGGAGGAGGCGGAGCCAGGGGAUUCUCUUAUGUUGGAGUCAUCAAAGCCCUAGAGGAAGCAGGUAUACCUAUAGACAUGGUAGGUGGCACCAGUAUGGGAUCCUUUGUUGGUGCAACGUACGCCGACACUGCUGAUGUCAAUAGAAUGUGUCAAAAGGUCCGCGAGUGGUCAAUAGACAUGACGGCCCUAUUGAAGAAGAUCCUGGAUCUAACGUAUCCAUUCACCUCCAUGUUUUCUGGUGUCAGAGCAUAGUACUUUCACUAACUUGGCGGAGCAUAUAUCCCGGAUUGAACCACCCUACACUCACGAGUGGUUACCAUUCUCCUCCUCGGAUGAACUCAGUAGGAUCCAGUUCCACACCUGGCCACCAUAUGUACUCGGCCUCUGAGGAAGACGACGAGUACGAUGAAGAAGAAGAAAACCUUGUUCGUGUCAGGCCAAGAACAGGUUCUCUGUCAGAACACGAAGAUUUAAUGGCUCUUAAGGCGCAAGCUCAAGCUGUUGUUCGGCACAAAGAGGCUGGAUACGAUUCGGACGACACUCAUCUGAGAAGAAGACUGGGCUUGCAUCAUCAACCGAACAGUGAACCGUAAAGCCCCUGUAUUUACUCUGAAGAUGGUAGUCAUGAAAACGCUAACGCAGUUCUCUUAAAGAAAGGGAAAGCACCUGGGAUGUGUGCUGUAUUUAUAUGACAAGUGUGUUGUGGGAAUGAAAUUCGAAUUGUCUGUAGCGUGAGUCCGUUGAAAAAUGUAACGCUUGUGAUAGCAGUAACAAAGCUAACACGAGCGAUAAUGAGGUCGCGAAGAUCCGCACGACCAAUAAUGGGGUCUCUUCCUUCAGUUAAAUCACCAAUAAUCGAUUAUUGCAAUCUGAUUAUUUACUGGUAAAUCAUUUAUUAGAUGGAGAAAGAAUUGGUUAAAAGUAAAUUCAAAUCAUGAACUAUAAAAUGACCUCUGUAAAGUGCAUAAAUUGUGUGAGGAAGAUGAACCGUUGAAAUGGAAAGCAUAGCACUGAGGGUGGCAGAGAUAAUUGAUCUCUUGAAGUUUCGGUGUGCUUGUGAACUCCAAAUUAAGGAGAUAUGCGUUUAAUUAAUUUGGUCUCUUUUUACUCGAGGGAAUUAAGCUCUUAACAUUGGGAACUUGUGAGGUAAUAAUCAGGAGAAAUAGGUAAUCAUGAGAAAAAACUUUUCAGUGUUUGCACAACAGUCAUUGAUUUAUUUGAUAUUCAAAUAAUACCUUUUUCGGAAAAUCACAUGGCAUUACCUCGAGAGAGUCUUCGUCGCAGCUGUUAUAUUUAAGUGAUAUGUUAAGUACAGUCAACCUUUAAAGUAUCAGUAGAACGGAAUAGAAAUAGCCUUAACGAUGUUACGUACAGCAAAAAUACAGCCGUUCUCUCCAAAAGUGCUUUCUUUUUCUUUUUCCCUUUUUCUUCUUUUUUUUUUUUCAUUUAUCUUAUGAAAGGCUUGUCUGUUGAAAAUAGUCAGUAAUGAGUUUAUUCAGUAACGUACUCACUGACAGUUGAAACCUGACUCUUCAUCAGUCGAUCUCAGGACGUGGGUGCCGCAGUAGAGUGCUGAGUGAGGGGAAGGGGUCCUUGUCUCUUUACACUUUCACCUACCCGUCGCUGCCUGUCCUGGCCGUUUUCGUCGCAGAGACAAUUCAAAGCGAGUUCGUGAAAAAAGUGCGCUGUUGACCGAACAAUUGAAGCGACUCUCAAUCAGCCUUUUGUAGUGUUGACAAGGCGGGGUUAAUAGAUCUGUCAUCCUCAAUCCCGCAAGUGAAUCGACAAGUGUAUUCAGUUAAAUCUAGAAAUGCCAACAGCUGUGAAAGACAUUUCUAAUUUCUGAGCUAAAGAUUCAGAAUACCGUUUCUGUUUCCUAGUUUUUUCAUGCUCAAUUCAUAUGUGAGAAUCAUGAAUGCAAGAGUAUGGAAUUUUGCUGACUCAUCUCCAUGGAAUUUGUAGCGCUAUCAAAGACCAGUUUAUUGCAUAUUAACACAAAUGCCCUUUGAGAUCAGUUUAAUUUUUCUCAUUCUUGCAUGUAUCUUUUACAUUCACAUGCAAAGAGAAGACAGAUGCUGACUUAUUUUAGUUCUAAAUGCGGAUCGCAAACGCUGUUCAAAAUAAGUAGUGGGAAUAGCAUAUUUGAAUCCAAUUGAUAAUUAUUUACCAAAAAAUACAUUAACUAAAGCAGAAGUGGAAACUGCUGGACAUAACUUGAAAUGUAAAGAUUGAUAUUUGUAAUAAAGGACUUUGCUAAAA